ACGAAUGCAGCUGAAGUGGUUCCGUCUCAGGUUCAGGGGAUGUCGGGGAAUGUGCCGGGUGYGGGUAGCCUGUGCGUCCGCGCUUGGAUAGGUUCUCGACUUCCUCGCACUCCUGUGGGGAGCCGGCCAACAGCAGUUGCUCCUGGCCCAGAAGGUCGGUUGGGAGGUACCUCUGCACUCGUGCGGAGAACGUAUAGCCAUCCGUCCGGCGGUCUGGGAGCGACUGAGGAGAGACGUGAGUUUUCACGCGUGCAGCGCAGRCCCUCGGGCCGGGUCGCCUCUGUGCGUUUGUGCACCGCGGUGGGGACUGCGUGCAGUGUCCGCUGACGGCAAGCUCGCUCGUGCGGGGGGUCGAUCACGCCUUGCGCUCCGGUUGUUGGUGCU
rnacentral:rRNA from 1 species